rnacentral:rRNA from 1 species
UCUGGUUGAUCCUGCCAGUAGCAUAUGCUCGUCUCAAAGACUAAGCCAUGCACGUCUCCGUACGAGCUAAAAGUAAAGUGAAACCGCGAACAGCUCAUUAAAUCAGUCGUUAUUUACGAGACGGAAGGGCAACCGUAGAUGGAUAACUGCGGAAAUUCUGGAGCUAAUACAUGCCAUUGACGACGCGACGUUCGAAAGUUCGGAGCGCAGCCUUUAUUAGACCGAAACGGUGGGUCCUGGACCUCGCGUCUGGCCCUCCUCUGGUGACUCCGGGUAACCGACAGUUGAUCGCAAGGCCUUCGAGCCCGCGACGCAUCUUUCAAGGGUCUGCCUCAUCAACUAGAUGGUUUGCAAACAGCCGACCAUGGUGCCGACGGGUGACGGGGAAUUAGGGUUCGAUUCCGGAGAGGGAGCCUUAGAAAUCGCUACCACAUCCAAGGAAGGCAGCAGGCGCGAAAAUUACCCACUCCUGGUACGGGGAGGUAGUGACGAUAGAUAACGACGCCGACUUCUCCAAAGAGGAUCGGCGAUCGGAAUGAGCGCAUAGUAAAUCCUUCGUAUAUCGAGGAUCGAUUGGAGGGCAAGUCUGGUGCCAGCAGCCGCGGUAAUACCAGCUCCGAAAGCGUAUACUAAAAUUGUUGCGGUUGAAACGCUCGUAGUCUAGUAAGGGGAUCGUAUGGGAGCCGUCCGCGGCGGCGUCCGCGGCCUCGGUCCCGUCGAACCCCUUCCCAUUCCGACGGUCCGUCAUACAGGUCCUCUUCAUUGAGAGCCGCGGAACGUUCGGAGAACCUGCUACCGUGAGAAAACCGGAGUGCUCCAAGCCUGACUCUAGCCGGUCAUUACGACCGACGGCGAUCGAAAGUUCGCGGCACGACAUUUAUAAUAGCCACCGCGCGGGUUUACGCCCGUGUCGGCGGCGGAGACGAACGGAGACCAAGCGAGGGCGCGGGUAUCCCAGCGGCGAAAGGUGAAAUUUUAAGAUCCUUGGGGGACCGGCGGAGGCGAAAGCGUCCGCCAAGUGGGUCCAGUUACGAUCAGGAACUAAAGUCGGAGGACCGAAGGUGAUCAGAUACCACCGUAGUUCCGACCCUAAACGAUGCCAUCCGGAGAUCCGAAGGAGUGCGAGCGAGUAUCCCUUCGGGCACUCCUCCCGGGAAACCCAGAGACGGGCUCCGGGGGGAGUAUGGUCGCAAGGCUGAAACUUAAAGGAAUUGACGGAAGGGCACCACCAGGAGUGGAGCCUGCGGCUUAAUUUGACUCAACACGGGAAAUCUCACCAGGCCCGGACACUGGAAGGAUUGACAGAUUGAGAGCUCUUUCUCGAUUCGGUGGGUGGUGGUGCAUGGCCGUUCUUAGUUGGUGGAGUGAUUUGUCUGGUUAAUUCCGAUAACGAACGAGACUCUAGCCUACUAAAUAGUUCACUGAUCCAUUUUGCGUCAGUGUCAACUUCUUAGAGGGACAAGUGGCGUAUAGUCACACGAGAUUGAGCAAUAACAGGUCUGUGAUGCCCUUAGAUGUCCGGGGCCGCACGCGCGCUACAUUGAUGGACUCAGCGUGGCUUUCUCCCUGGCUCGAGAGAGUUGGGAAACCCGUUGAAUUUCCAUCGUGAUAGGGAUUGGGGUUUGAAAUUCUCCCCCAUGAACGAGGAAUUCCCAGUAAGCGCGAGUCAUAAGCUCGCGUUGAUUACGUCCCUGCCCUUUGUACACACCGCCCGUCGCUACUACCGAUUGAACGAUCGAGCGAGGCCUUCGGACUGGUCGGCGUUGACGACGACUCCUCGUGUUUCGCGUCUCGUCGAGAUGGAAAGAUCGCCGAGCUCGACCGUUUAGAGGAAGUAAAAGUCGUAACAAGGUAUCCGUAGGUGAACCUGCGGAUG